rnacentral:tRNA from 1 species
GGCAGUAGCUCAGUUGGCAGAGCGUUGGCUUCCCAAGCCGAAGGUCGCGGGUUCGAACCCCGUUUGCC